GCCUGGGCUGCUCUGCUAGCUCAAACCAACAUCUUAGCGAAGAGAUGCCUAGGCUGCUCUGCUAGCUCAAACAAACCUCUGAGGAAGCCUGUAUGGCUGGAACCUAAAAAGGACCUAUCUGCUGCCUUUGAUACUGUGAACCAUCAGAUCCUCCUCUCCACCCUCUCCGAGUUGGGCAUCUCCGGCGCGGCCCACGCUUGGAUUGCGUCCUACCUGACAGGUCGCUCCUACCAGGUGGCGAAUCGCAUCUCUGCAUGUCUGGCAGACAUAUCAGUGUGGAUGACGGAUCACCACCUCAAGCUGAACCUCGGCAAGACAGAGCUGCUCUUCCUCCCGGGGAAGGACUGCCCGUUCCAUGAUCUCGCCAUCACGGUUGACAACUCCCUUGUGUCCUCCUCCCAGAGUGCUAAGAACCUUGGCGUGACCCUGGACAACACCCUGUCGUUCUCCACUAACAUCAAGGCGGUGACCCGAUCCUGUAG
rnacentral:lncRNA from 1 species